rnacentral:misc_RNA from 1 species
GAUGAAGAACGCAGCGAAAUGCGAUACUUGGUGUGAAUUGCAGAAUCCCGUGAACCAUCGAGUCUUUGAACGCAAGUUGCGCCCGAAGCCAUUAGGCCGAGGGCACGCCUGCCUGGGCGUCACACGUCGUUGCCCCCCCAUCUACUCCUUCGGGAUUGCGGGGGGCGGAUGAUGGCCUCCCGUGCGCCUCGUCGCGCGGUUGGCCUAAAUGCCAAGUCCUCGGCGACGCACGCCACGACAAUCGGUGGUUGCGAAACCUCGGUUGCCUGUCGUGUGCGGUCGUCGCGCAUCGAGGGCUCGAAAAAAUUGCCGGGCUUCGGCUCGACUUUCAACGCAACCCCAGGUCAGGCGGGGUUACCCGCUGAAUUUAAGCAUAUCAAUAAGCGGAGA